GACGAACGCUGGCGGCGUGCCUAAUACAUGCAAGUAGAACGCACAGUUUAUACCGUAGCUUGCUACACCAUAGACUGUGAGUUGCGAACGGGUGAGUAACGCGUAGGUAACCUGCCUGGUAGCGGGGGAUAACUAUUGGAAACGAUAGCUAAUGCCGCAUAAUAUUGAUUAUUGCAUGAUAAUUAAUUGAAAGGUGCAAUUGCACCACUACCAGAUGGACCUGCGUUGUAUUAGCUAGUAGGUGAGGUAACGGCUCACCUAGGCGACGAUACAUAGCCGACCUGAGAGGGUGAUCGGCCACACUGGGACUGAGACACGGCCCAGACUCCUACGGGAGGCAGCAGUAGGGAAUCUUCGGCAAUGGACGAAAGUCUGACCGAGCAACGCCGCGUGAGUGAAGAAGGUUUUCGGAUCGUAAAGCUCUGUUGUAAGAGAAGAACGGGUGUGAGAGUGGAAAGUUCACACUGUGACGGUAUCUUACCAGAAAGGGACGGCUAACUACGUG
rnacentral:rRNA from 1 species